AUCAAGGCAUCAAAUAGCAAAUAAAAAGUAUCACGACAAGAUGAGAGAGAGAGACUGGAAGAAUGAAGAAAGCUCUAUAUUUUAGUAACUUCAAGGACACUUUUUUCCUGCUUUUUGAAGAAGAGGUCCCACAUUUUCAGUUUGAACAAGGAGCCCCACAAUUGUGAGAACAGCCUGACAGAGGGCAUGGAGACUGAGGAUACAAAGCCCACUCAGAUCCCAGAGUUAUUAAGAGAGGAAGAAACCGGUGCUUUGAAAGGUUGAACAACCUGCCCACAUCACUUGACUGGCAAGCAGCACAGCCAAUCACCAUGGACCCACAGCCUCAGCCACCAACUUCUCUCUGUCCUGCCUGCUGGGGUAACACAACUAAUUCUUUUGCCCCUGUCUCCUUGGAUGUCAGGCUCCUCCUGUAUAUAGGGACUUGAAAAAGCUGUCCUGGAGUUUGGAGCAGAUUCAGCUAAAGGCCAUCACAUUUUGGGAACAGAAUGACGAAAGUCAACAGAACACAGCGAGUCUCUGCAGGAGAACCACCCGAAGGCAUGGCUCUGAGCUGGAGAAAGGGCCAAGCCUGACUAAUGAGUCAAGGUGGCCGGAGCUGACUACCUGUAGAAA